UACAGAGGUCUCAAGCGUUGUUCGGAUUCAUUGGGCGUAAAGGGUGCGUAGGUGGCGAGGUUAGUCAGGUGUGAAAUCUCGGGGCUCAACCCCGAAACUGCACUUGAUACUGCCUUGCUAGAGUACUGGAGAGGAGAUUGGAAUUUACGGUGUAGCAGCGAAAUGCGUAGAUAUCGUAAGGAAGACCAGUGGCGAAGGCGAAUCUCUGGACAGUUACUGACACUGAGGCACGAAGGCCAGGGGAGCAAACGGG
rnacentral:rRNA from 1 species